rnacentral:rRNA from 1 species
GACGAACGCUGGCGGCGUGCUUAACACAUGCAAGUCGAGCGGUAAGGCCCUUUCGGGGGGUACACGAGCGGCGAACGGGUGAGUAACACGUGGGUGACCUGCCCUCAGCUCUGGGAUAAGCCUGGGAAACCGGGUCUAAUACUGGAUAUGACUCCAUGACGCAUGUUGUGGGGUGGAAAGCCUUGUGCGGCUGAGGAUGGGCCCGCGGCCUAUCAGCUUGUUGGUGGGGUGANGGCCUACCAAGGCGACGACGGGUAGCCGGCCUGAGAGGGCGACCGGCCACACUGGGACUGAGACACGGCCCAGACUCCUACGGGAGGCAGCAGUGGGGAAUCUUGCGCAAUGGGACGAAAGCCUGACGCAGCGACGCCGCGUGA